rnacentral:lncRNA from 1 species
GGUUUUACUCCUCUUCAUCUUGCAUCAAUACAAUGCCAUGAUGAUGUCAUUGAACUGCUAAUUCAAACAUACAAAGCCAACCCAAACAUCAGGGACCACAGUGGUAAGAAACCAAAGCAAUAUUUGAGCAGUUCUGCAUCCGCCAGGUGUCAACUUUUAAUGGGGGGAGGAAUUCUUCGAGCUGGUGUAAAAGUAAGUCUAGAU